AGACAGAUCAGCAGAUGUAAGGGGGGUACUUUUGAAUUAGAUGAUCAAUGGAGCAUAGAGGCGUGAGAACGGAAUCAUAUUAGGAUGUGAAACCAGCUAGAGUAUGGUACAAUGUAACUUCGUGGCACAAGCUAAUUGUAAGGUCCAUUGUGCUUUUUAGCAAGUCAGCUUGAUAUCCCCUAUUAUCAGAGCUGAGUUCUUCCUUGGUUUUGCUACAUAUUGCAAGAUAGAUACAUCUACCCUUGAAACACAAUGGUAGAGGUCAUACAUAGGGGUGAGAAAGAUGAUGAUGGGAGGAAGAUUAUGUGGGCAGGGGUCACUCGCCCCUUGCCCUACAGCAGGGCAUGCGCAGACUGUUGCUAUCAGGAUGGGAAGAGCAC